UACACUCCUACGGGAGGCAGCAGUGGGGAAUUUUGGACAAUGGGCGAAAGCCUGAUCCAGCAAUGCCGCGUGAGUGAAGAAGGCCUUCGGGUUGUAAAGCUCUUUUGUCAGGGAAGAAACGGUGAAAGCUAAUAUCUUUUGCUAAUGACGGUACCUGAAGAAUAAGCACCGGCUAACUACGUGCCAGCAGCCGCGGUAAUACGUAGGGUGCAAGCGUUAAUCGGAAUUACUGGGCGUAAAGCGUGCGCAGGCGGUUUUGUAAGUCUGAUGUGAAAUCCCCGGGCUCAACCUGGGAAUUGCAUUGGAGACUGCAAGGCUAGAAUCUGGCAGAGGGGGGUAGAAUUCCACGUGUAGCAGUGAAAUGCGUAGAUAUGUGGCGGAACACCGAUGGCGAAGGCAGCCCCCUGGGUCAAGAUUGACGCUCAUGCACGAAAGCGUGGGGAGCAAACAGGAUUAGAAACCCCAGUAGUCCCA
rnacentral:rRNA from 1 species